CCCUUAGAUGUUCUGGGCCGCACGCGUGCUACACUGAUGCAUUCAACGAGUCUAAAACCUGGUCUGAUAGGGCUGGGUAAUCUUUUGAAAGUGCAUCGUGAUUGGGAUAGAUGAUUGCAAUUCUUCAUCUUCAACGAGGAAUUCCUAGUAAGCGUGAGUCAUCAGCUCGCGUUGAUUACGUCCCUGCCCUUUGUACACACCGCCCGUCGCUACUACCGAUUGAAUGGCUUAGUGAGCCUUUGGGAUUGGCAGCCAACACCGGCAACGGUAGCUGGCCGCCGAAAACUUAUGCAAACUUGGUCAUUUAGAGGAAGUAAAAGUCGUAACA
rnacentral:rRNA from 1 species